UGGCUUUAAGACAUACUUAGCCAACUGUACUGAUUGGAACUCUUUUUGGAAAAUCUGCAGCAUUCAUUUCAAACAAGCUGGUUUAGAGCAUCUAGAAGGAGAGAUGUUAUUUAGAAGAUUCAAAUCUGUAAUAUAGCUUUAUGAAUGGGGGUGUGUGUGUUUUGUGUUUGUUUAGAAGAGACAAUUAUAUUUUAAUAUAUUUGAUAAGUAAUUAUUUUAACAACUCGA
rnacentral:lncRNA from 1 species